rnacentral:rRNA from 1 species
UACGUAGGGUGCGAGCGUUGUCCGGAAUUACUGGGCGUAAAGAGCUCGUAGGUGGUUUGUCGCGUUGUUCGUGAAAACUCACAGCUUAACUGUGGGCGUGCGGGCGAUACGGGCAGACUGGAGUACUGCAGGGGAGACUGGAAUUCCUGGUGUAGCGGUGGAAUGCGCAGAUAUCAGGAGGAACACCGGUGGCGAAGGCGGGUCUCUGGGCAGUAACUGACGCUGGAGGAGCGGAAGCGUGGGGAGCGAACAGG